rnacentral:tRNA from 1 species
GGUAGAUUUGGUCUGUCGGUUUGAUCGUUGAGUUUUAAACUCAAUAGAUAAGCGCUGUCGAAGGUUCGAUUUCUUCUCUUCCC